rnacentral:sRNA from 1 species
UAUCGAUAGGGGCUCACUCCGGGUAGCUAUCGGAAAAGAAGGUCGUGAGUUCCUACAACCCAUCCCCAAUACACGCAACAAUAAACAAUCAGGAAUGAUGUCGUCGCCGCCGCUCCAUGUGGACCGGACCUCCUCUUUCGGAUUAUCGAGGUCGAACGGGCCCUCCUUUUCCUUCGUGGCAUGUCGAUGAGGUAUCCGCUGUCAAAACCACACCAAGGAUCAUGAACAACAUGGGACUUAGGAAUAAUGAAAUACAAGAAAAAUAAAGG